ensembl:snRNA U6 U6 spliceosomal RNA
GUUUUCACUUUGGGAGCACAUAUACUAAAACUGGAACAAUACAGAGAAGAUUAGCAUGGCCCCUGAGCAAGGAUGACACACAAAUUCGUGAAGCAUUCCAUAGUUUU